rnacentral:rRNA from 2 species
UUUAUGGAGAGUUUGAUCCUGGCUCAGGAUGAACGCUGGCGGCGUGCCUAAUACAUGCAAGUCGAGCGAACGGACGAGAAGCUUGCUUCUCUGAUGUUAGCGGCGGACGGGUGAGUAACACGUGGAUAACCUACCUAUAAGACUGGGAUAACUUCGGGAAACCGGAGCUAAUACCGGAUAAUAUUUUGAACCGCAUGGUUCAAAAGUGAAAGACGGUCUUGCUGUCACUUAUAGAUGGAUCCGCGCUGCAUUAGCUAGUUGGUAAGGUAACGGCUUACCAAGGCAACGAUGCAUAGCCGACCUGAGAGGGUGAUCGGCCACA